UACGUAGGCAGCGAGCGUUGUUCGGAGUUACUGGGCGUAAAGGGUGUGUAGGCGGUUGUUUAAGUUUGGUGUGAAAUCUCCCGGCUCAACUGGGAGGGUGCGCCGAAUACUGAAUGACUCGAGUGUGGGAGAGGUGGAGUGGAAUUCCUGGUGUAGCGGUGAAAUGCGUAGAUAUCAGGAGGAACACCGGUGGUGUAGACGGCUCACUGGACCAUAACUGACGCUGAGACACGAAAGCGGUGGGUAGCAAACAGG
rnacentral:rRNA from 1 species